rnacentral:lncRNA from 1 species
GGCUUGGAUUGUCCUAAAACAUAACCAUUCAAAAGUUCAUGAAUAGUGUUCAACUCGGAGCUUGAGUUUUCAACGUGAAAUCGAACAAGUUCUUACCUGAAAUGUUUACCUUUGAACUCGUAGGGUCCUCACGAACACAAUGGUACCAUUUUCUUCCUCAAUCUAUGAAGAUUUGGCUCAGUUUCAAGGUGGUCCGUACGGAGGAGAGUGAAGAGAGGGUCUGGGAGAUGAGAGAGAGAGCACGGGAAAGAGAGAGAAGGGUAUGGAUUUGUGUGGUCCAAAAAUGCACACCAAUCCCAACUCUUUAAUCUUUUAGUUCUAAUUGUGUCCAAUUAGUUAGGGAUAGAACUAAUUGACUCAAUUUGACUCAAUUCUUUAAUUCCACAUAAACACACAUCCGACACUCAAGGGUAAAUUUGUCUUUUCACAACCACGAUGAUAAAAUAAAGUACAUUUCUGGAACGGGCUGUGACAGUUAAGGGGAGAUAAGAACGUCGUGAAUUUACAUGGACGUUAUGUUGUGUUCCUUUCAAGUGCAAAAAUAAGGAUAGUAUAAUUGCACAAGUAAGGGUGUCGAACCACAGAGACUGAUUAGACCUUUACAAAUUACUAGCUUUAUGUGAAUCUUAACUAAACAAUGAAACUAACAAAUUAAGUUUUGAUUUCGAUUUGAGAAGUAAAGUGACUUAAAAUGCAAGAGAAUGUAAAUAUGAACAAUAGAAUGAUUCAGAAACAAUGGGAAUGGAACUAGGGAUAUCGAUUUCACCAUUACAAGUCAAUUCCAUGAAAAUUAAGUCAAAAUGCAUUCAACUCUCCAAUCUGCAACUAGGGUUCAUUUUACUUAUCUAUGAUCAUCCAUUUGAUGUGCGGUUCUGAUCAAGUACUCCUAAUCUACAAUCUAGUUGUGAUGUUCAACUUAGAUUAGCAAGUAAGAAUCCAUUAAGAACAAGAAAACUUCAAAGAACCCAAGAAAUCACAUGGCAGGAUGUAUGCAUAGCAGUUUCUUCAUUCAUUCACAUGUCUACCAAGAUUAAGCAUGAUGUGUACUAUAAUCUUGAUCAAAUAAUCUGUAAGAAACCCUAAUGGUGAUCAAACAUUAAGAUAAACAAACAAAUUAAACUAUAAAAUUAGUGAAUGAAACAAGAAAACAGAUUGACGAAUUGAAUGCAUUAACUUAAUAACAUAGAAUAGUUUUGCAAGGCUACAUCGAAAUCCCCAGCUAUGAACUUAAUUACACAACAUGAUUACAUAAUAUAUAAAUAUCAAGAACAACAUAAGUGAAAUUAAAUUCAUAGAAGAAACCCCCUUGAAGUAAUUCUGAUGUUGAACUUCUCCAAGAACAGCGCGGCUGCGUGGUUUCUUCGAUGGCAGCAUAUGGUGAACGGAAAUAGGGUUUUGUUUCUAGAAGAAAGGCCAAAGAAAGAGAAGAGAGAGAGCUCUGGGUGACCCCCAAGGGGGCUUGUGUAAAAUUGAUAUGACACCCUAGUAUUUAUAUGCUAAAUGGGGCUACAACUGAUUGCAAGGUGAUCCCAACCAUUAAGCCAAGGUUU